GAGGGGGGUGUGAGCGUUAUUCGGAAUUACUGGGCGUAAAGGGUGUGUAGACGGGCGCAUUAAGUCUGUUGUUAAAUUUUUCGGGCUAACCGAAAAGCUGCGAUGGAAACUGGUGUGCUAGAGAAUGAGAGAGAGAAGUGGAAUUUCCGGAGUAGCGGUAAAAUGCGUGGAUCUCGGAAGGAACACCAAUGGCGAAGGCAGCUUCUUGGUUCAUUUCUGACGUUGAGGCACGAAAGCGUGGGGAGCAAACGGGAUUAGAUACCCUGGUAGUCCACGCUGUAAACGAUAAUCACUAGACGUUAGUCCGGCUUUGCUGGAUUAGUGUCGUAGCUAACGCGUUAAGUGAUUCGCCUGGGGACUACGAUCGCAAGAUUAA
rnacentral:rRNA from 1 species